UACGAAGGGGGCUAGCGUUGUUCGGAUUCACUGGGCGUAAAGGGUGCGUAGGUGGCCAGGUAAGUUUGGUGUGAAAGCUCGGAGCUUAACUCCGAAAAGUCAUUGAAUACUAUCUGGCUGGAGGGUCGGAGGGGAGACUGGAAUUCUCGGUGUAGCAGUGAAAUGCGUAGAUAUCGAGAGGAACACCAGUGGCGAAGGCGAAGUCUCUGGACGACUCCUGACACUGAGGCACGAAAGCUAGGGGAGCAAACAGG
rnacentral:rRNA from 1 species